AUACGUAGGGUGCAAGCGUUAAUCGGAAUUACUGGGCGUAAAGCGUGCGCAGGCGGUUUUGUAAGACAGUGGUGAAAUCCCCGGGCUCAACCUGGGAACUGCCAUUUUGACUGCAAGGCUGGAGUGCGGCAGAGGGGGAUGGAAUUCCGCGUGUAGCAGUGAAAUGCGUAGAUAUGCGGAGGAACACCGAUGGCGAAGGCAAUCCCCUGGGCCUGCACUGACGCUCAUGCACGAAAGCGUGGGGAGCAAACAGGAUUAGAUACCCUGGUAGUCCACGCCCUAAACGAUGUCAACUGGUUGUUGGGGAUUUAUUUUCUCAGUAACGAAGCUAACGCGUGAAGUUGACCGCCUGGGGAGUACGGCCGCAAGGUUAAAACUUAAAGGAAUUGACGGGG
rnacentral:rRNA from 1 species